ensembl:lncRNA
UCCGUACUCUGCUGUUUUUUAUUUUGCAUCUUUACUGAAAGUCACACAGCCAAAAAGAUCUUCUCUGGCAUCUAGAAGACUCAUGCAGAGAAGCAAGAAGCUGGAAGGAUAAGAUGGGAAAAAUUAUGUGAGUAAAAGCAAAUGGGGAAAAAUUGUGUUUAAUGGCAUUUUAAGAAGAUGCAGAUGAACCUUAACUUCAUAUGACUUUUUUUUUUUUUUUUUUUUUUUAAGCAAAACCACCCUGAAAAACAUUAUAAUAAUUAUCUGUAUUAUUUUUUUCACCUAGCAGAAUGUCUGAAGAAUAAUUAGUUUGUGGAUGCAGAACUAGAAGAUGUUAAGGAGAAACACAUUUUCUGAAAAGUAAUGCUGAAGGUCAUGUCCUCAAUGUAUUUGUGUAUUUCUUUCUAGCGCAACUGGGGGUGAAAUGACACAGGUCAAUAUUGGGAAUUCAUAUUGAAAUUCUUGCCUAACUCUUGUUUCUCUGAGUAUUCUGCUGAAUUCUUUGUGGCUGUCCACAGUGGCAGAAGGGAGCAAAUCCAUCGUCCUGCACCAGCCCUUGCAGAUGUGAAAUUUGCAGGUUCCACCAAAUGGUGGAUGUGUUGUUACAUGUGUUGCAUAUGUAUUGCAUAACACAUACAUGUAUAUGUAUUGUAUAACACAUAUAUUGUUAUCCCUGACUUUCCUGCACUGCAAUUUCCCCACUGGGAACUGGUAGGACCUUAUCUUUAAGGAUCAUCCCUGGAGGCCACUCAAGGGUAGUACCAUCAUGGCAAUGUAAUCUGGAUGCAUAUUCUUUUCUCUGGCUUAUUUCCAUGGUGCCAGUAAUAAUGUGCAUGGUCCUACUUACUCUGCUCUGUCCCUCUCUGUUUCAGGGGAGAAUAUGGCCCAGGGCAUCCUUCCGUUCCAUGUAUCAUGCUUCCAUUUCCCUUCACCCCACAGGAGAUGAAGAACUUCAGAUUGAUGGAAGAGCUGACCUGUUUUUGGUGCCUGGAUAUUUCUCCAGUCAGCAUCUAGUGCUAUACACAGAAUCCAGAAUUUUCAGGUGAGGAUCCAUAUUUCCUGAAAUAAAAUGGGGAACAGAUUUCUUGCACCAUAUUUACUCUAUUCCCACUUUAUAAAAUAUCUUGCUGUGGCUCAAGAGACUGGCCUUACAGAAGCAACAUAGCUAUCAUUAUGUGUAUGUAUACAAUCCCAAGGGAAUCAUAAUAUUUUCCAUUUGUUGAUUGGAUGGCAGCCAUUUGGUUAAUCAUCAUUCAAGUGCAGCGAGACCAUGUAGCACAUGAAGCCUCUACUUAAGACAACAAAACUGCCGAAAACAUCUAAGUAUGUAACCUGACUAUCCAAUUGUGCUAAUGGAUGAUGAUGGUUAUAGUUUGAGAUGGUGGGAAAGAAAAUGUAGUCCCAAUAUUUAUCUAGUUAUACCUUCUAAAAUGAACUACAUUCCACUACUUCAUGUUAGCUUGUGUUCCAGCUUUUCUUUUUCCCUAUUAGUUCUCCAACAGUCCUCUCUGUCUCAACUUCUGUGCCACUGAAUCAUUGUGCCGUUGUACCUCAUCUGCAUAGAUAAAAAUCUCUCCCACCAUAAUGUGUAUUUCUUUUAAUUUAUCCUCUGUCUGAAGUAAAUUCUGUCAGUGGGUUUAUUUCCCCAUCUCUGGAACAUGACCUAAUGUCCAACAGAUUUGCAAUAAAUAAAGCCUGGUUCAACAUUAUCUGCAAAUCAUGGCUUGGAAAAAAUCAGCUCAUCAAAAAAUAAUUUGCCCUAUCAAGAAAAUGGCAAUAUUGUCGACUCUUACUGUUACACAGACAAUAGUAUGAUUCCCAUUGUCCAUGCUCUUUAAAGGAAGGUUAUAGAUAAACUUUUGUUAAAAGAGCUAUAUUUAUAGUCUUCCUAUUUGCAGAAAAAGUUUGAAAAUUUGACCUCAAUAUGCCCUAAAGGCUUCAACCCAGGAAAUAAAACGUCCCCAUGCAUAUAUUUUUAGAUUUCAUGGUUUUAAGCUUUAAUGUGGGACUGGUUUAUUCAGUUUUUGAGUGCUAGAGGUUAGCAACAUUACAAUGGGUUUUUUAUAAUCAACAAAAUAUGAGAUUACACUCAAAACUUUAAGUCCAAGUGCAAAGGAUGGAGAAUGGAUGCAUUUCAUACACUGUUCUAUCCUUCUCACAAGCAAUAUCUUAAAAACACUUGACAGGGUUAAAGACAGGGAAGAAAGUCUCACCUCAAACCCAUUGAACUGACAGUUUGGG